rnacentral:ncRNA from 1 species
UUAGCGCAGGUUCUUGUGGCUGAGUGUGUCAUGAGAAGACGAGGAGAAGGUUGUCGAAUAGUCAGCGGAUGCCUUCCGGCCGGUUCGGUCGAUAGAAACCUGUUAAAGACUGAAUGUGAGUUCAGAACAAGAGCGG